rnacentral:rRNA from 1 species
AACGAACGCUGGCGGCAUGCCUAACACAUGCAAGUCGAACGAGACCUUCGGGUCUAGUGGCGCACGGGUGCGUAACGCGUGGGAAUCUGCCCUUCGGUUCGGAAUAACUCAGGGAAACUUGAGCUAAUACCGGAUGAUGACUUCGGUCCAAAGAUUUAUCGCCGAGGGAUGAGCCCGCGUCGGAUUAGCUAGUUGGUGAGGUAAAAGCUCACCAAGGCGACGAUCCGUAGCUGGUCUGAGAGGAUGAUCAGCCACACUGGGACUGAGACACGGCCCAGACUCCUACGGGAGGCAGCAGUGGGGAAUAUUGGACAACGGGCGAAAGCCUGAUCCAGCAAUGCCGCGUGAGUGAUGAAGGCCUUAGGGUUGUAAAGCUCUUUUACCCGGGAUGAAAAUGACAGUACCGGGAGAAUAAGCCCCGGCUAACUCCGUGCCAGCAGCCGCGGUAAUGCGAGGGGCUAGCGUUGUUCGGAAUUACUGGGCGUAAAGCGCACGUAGGCGGUCG